GGCUCGGAUUCGUCCGUCUUCUUUCUUCUUAGCCGAGUACUUCGGUAGAUUAGUUGGAACGAUUGAUGAUUUUGAGUUAAUUGAACGUUCGGCGUAUGAGUGGUGAUCGGAUAGCUAGUGUUCGUAGGCUCCAUG
rnacentral:misc_RNA from 1 species